rnacentral:rRNA from 1 species
GUCUACGGCCAUACCACCCUGAAUGUGCCCGAUCUCGUUUGAUCUCAGAAGCUAAGCAGGGUCGGGCCUGGUUAGUACUUGGAUGGGAGAACUCAGUGAGUAGUAAGUG